UACGUAGGGUCCGAGCGUUUGUCCGGAAUUACUGGGCGGUAAAGCGUGCGCAGGCGGCUUUCCAAGCGCCCACGUGAAAGCCCCCGGGCUCAACCCGGGAGGGUCGUGGCGAACUGGGGACUUGAGGCCGGUAGAGGUGGUGGAACUCCUGGUGGAGUGGUGAAAUGCGUAGAGAUCAGGAAGAACACCCGUGGCGAAGG
rnacentral:rRNA from 1 species